rnacentral:rRNA from 1 species
CCUACGGGAGGCAGCAGUGGGGGAUAUUGCACAAUGGGGGGAACCCUGAUGCAGCGACGCCGCGUGGGUGAAGAAGCGCCUCGGCGCGUAAAGCCCUGUCAGUAGGGAAGAAAAUGACGGUACCUGUAGACGAAGCGCCUGCUAACUACGUGCCAGCAGCCGCUGUAAUACGUAGGGGGCAAGCGUUAAACGGAUUUACUGGGGGUAGAGGGGGCGCUGACGGCGAUGCAAGCCAGGAGUGAAAGCUCGGGGCCCAACCCCGGGACUGCUCUUGGAACUGAGUGGCUGGAGUGCAGGAGAGGCAGGCGGAAUUCCUGGUGUAGCGGUGAAAUGCGUAGAUAUCAGGAGGAACACCGGUGGCGAAGGCGGCCUGCUGGACUGCAACUGACGUUGAGGCCCGAAAGCGUGGGGAGCAAACAGGAUUAGAUACCCUUGUAGUC